GGCUGUCCUGGCUCAGGCUGUAAGAGAAGGGAGUGUUAGGACGAUUUAGGACCAGUUCGAGGUGUUGGUUGGCCGGUUUGAAUGGUCCCAGUUCGAUAACCAGGAGGGAUACAGAGAUGGGAGUAGUGGGGAUAGUCAGGGAAUUUAUCUGACUAUCUCGUGUCAAAAUUUGGAAACACUAACUCUAUUCCAAGUGGGUGAAAAAUGGAAAAAGGUUGAGAGAUGUCAGAGCAGUUUGGUGAAAAAUUUGACUAUGUUCGACACAAACACCUGGAAAUAAAUGGUCAUAGUUCAAUAGUCAGGAGGGAUAGAGAGAUGGGAAUAGUAGAGAUAGUCAGGGAAUUGAUCUGACUAUCUCGUGUCAAAAUUUGGGAGCCCUAACUCUAUUCCAAGUGGGUGAAAAAUGGAAAAAGGUUGAGAGAUGUCAGAGCAGUUUGGUGAAAAAUUUGACUAUGUUCGACACAAACACCUGGAAAUAAAUGGUCAUAGUUCAAUAGUCAGGAGGGAUAGACAGAUGGGAAUAGUAGAGAUAGUCAGGGAAUUUAUCUGACUAUCUCGUGUCAAAAUCUGGGAGCCCUAACUCUAUUCCAAGUGGGUGAAAAAUGGAAAAAGGUUGAGAGAUGUCAGAGCAGUUUGGUGAAAAAUUUGACUAUGUUCGACACAAACACCUGGAAACAAAUGGUCAUAGUUCAAUAGUCAAGAGGGAUAGAGAGAUGGGAAUAGU